rnacentral:lncRNA from 10 species
GAGCCAUAUGCUUCAUCUCAGAGCCAAGGCUGUGUCAUCACUGUCAAAUGCUCCUUCAGGCCACUAAAUCACCACAGUAAGAUCAUAGCUUCAGGACCUAAGUAGCUCCUGGGGAUGGGAAAGAGAUGACUGACUGAGGUGGUUGAUGGGAUUCUUACAGGAGGAAGCAUUCCCAUGUGAAAGAUGAGCUCCCUAUAAAAGCAACGCUCUUAUCAUCGAGAACAGAAAGUUGAAGCCAAGAGAGAGCUCCACAAGCUGACCUUGUUAAACUAACCCUUAUCUUCUUAGUCGCUUCUUUACCCAAUUAACUACCCUAGCCGAAGCCCCUUUGCCUUAUUACAUUUUGCAACAGUGUUCGUUGUCCAAUUCAGUAUACAAGUGAGUGACUCUGGAUGCUUUUUGGGGUCUUCGUUUCCUUAUGAGGGCUUCUGUGCCAUGUAAAACUUGUAUUAAAUAAAUUUGUAUGCUUUUCUCCUGUUAAUCUGUCUAUAUCGAUUGAACUUUAGGGUCCAGUCAGAACCCAAAGAGGAUGGAGGUGGAGUUUUGGCUCCUCUACAGCUAUCUGAAUAAUCAAAAUUCAAGAUAUUCCAUGUUCUUUCUGAGUUUCUUUGAAAUUAAAAAUGCAGACAACCACUCAACUAAUACGUCAGCGAGAUACGUUUUCUGUCCUUAUUGCCUUACUGAUGAAAUUGCCUUUAUUCAUAAAAAAUAAAUGUGGGAGUCUUGUUUAUUUAUUUCUAAUGACAUUAACUUGACAUUAACCUUGGUGCUCUUGGGAACCAUAAAUGGGCCCUGUACUACUUGUUACAGAGUAUAAAUUCCCAGAACUACAAGUACAUCAUAUUCCUCAAGUUACUGAAGAAUUUCAUGAUCCAUGUGUCAGGCCUCUGAGCCCAAGCUAAGUC